rnacentral:rRNA from 1 species
CGGGGUGAAGAUAAGACGGAUUAGCGGCGGACGGGUGAGUAACACGUGAGUAACCUGCCUUUUACACAGGGAUAGCCUCGGGAAACCGGGAUUAAAACCUGAUGAAACUAUCAAAUCACAUGAUUAAGAAAGUUAAAACUCCGGUGGUAAAAGAUGGACUCGCGUCCCAUUAGCUAGUUGGUGAAGGUAACGGCCCACCAAGGCAACGAUGGGUAGCCGGCCUGAGAGGGUGAACGGCCACAUUGGAACUGAGAAACGGUCCAAACUCCUACGGGAGGCAGCAGCU